GACGUAGGAGGCGAGCGUUGUCCGGAUUCAUUGGGCGUAAAGAGCACGCAGGCGGUUUGGCAAGUCGGAUGUGAAAUCCCGAGGCUCACUCGGUCGUGCAGUCGAUACGAGCAAACUAGAGUGUUGCAGGGGAGACUGGAAUUCCUGGUGUAGCGGUGAAAUGCGCAGAGUAUCAGGAGGAACACCCGGUGGGCGAAGGCGGGGUCUCUGGGCAACAACUGACG
rnacentral:rRNA from 1 species